UACGGAGGGAGCUAGCGUUAUUCGGAAUUACUGGGCGUAAAGCGCACGUAGGCGGCUUUGUAAGUUAGAGGUGAAAGCCUGGAGCUCAACUCCAGAACUGCCUUUAAGACUACAUCGCUUGAAUCCAGGAGAGGUGAGUGGAAUUCCGAGUGUAGAGGUGAAAUUCGUAGAUAUUCGGAAGAACACCAGUGGCGAAGGCGGCUCACUGGACUGGUAUUGACGCUGAGGUGCGAAAGCGUGGGGAGCAAACAGG
rnacentral:rRNA from 1 species